rnacentral:lncRNA from 1 species
CAAAAGAUCAUAGAUUGUGUACUUCACAAUAGACCAUAAUUCAGAGUACAUAAAUAGUUCCAAAAAGAUCAUAGAUGUUUAUUGUUCCUAUCUUGCUGAAAUAAACAUCUGGACAUUGGCUCUUCACAUAAACUAAUUUGGAGUACAUGAUACAAUUAAGAGUACUUGACAGCAACAGAAAAGAAGCGGAAAACAUCAAAUGGACGGUCCUUUCUUGCUCUCUAAGGCCUUCUUGUAUGCUGCCAGGUUGAACACACAGUGCUUGGGAACAUUGGGUUGUGAGCUGCUGGUUGUUCCCCCCUGUGUGGAUUUCCUCUGGCUGGUUGAUGGCUGUGAACCACCAACAUUUGUGGAUUUCCUCUGCAUGCUUGAGUGUUUCACCCUUCCUGCUUGGCUUGCUCCAGCUUGUGACUUGCCCUGCUAUGUGAAGAUUGUGAAAUAUAAGAUAUCAUGCUAUAGAAAUCAGGAAGUAAUGGCAAAACAAUAAGAAAAUAGUUACAACAAAUAUACCAUUGAUUUCUUAACAUUUUGCCCUGCCUGCUUGGCUGGGACAUUAGGAACUCCA